ensembl:lncRNA
UAAUCUGUCAGAUUUGUACCACACAAAACAAAUUUCAUAACAAAAUAAUCGGUUUUAACAAAGCUGUGGACAAACGGCGAAUCGAAGCUGGACGGUUUUCGCGCUCGCCUUUUUUGUCCCUGGUGGGCUCCCCUCUGUCUCCAUGGUAACGCAGCCGCCGCCAUAGCGCGAGCGUUGUCUUGUUUUUGAGCAGUAGCAGCGCGGCGGGUCCAGAGAAACUGCUUUCUUCCACAUUUAACGAUAAAACCUGACAAAUGACUACUGUUCUUUAGAGUGCAGUGAAUGCUGUGCAGGCCUCUCUGUGUGCGAGCAGUGCAUCAGACUGGGUGAAAUGUGCGACUGCCGGCUGCCGGCUGUGGGACCGUUCCUGGCUGAAUCGUGCUCUCCGGCUUCUUGCUCCAGGUGGGACUGUGCCUGUACCUGCCAGGUUCCUGACUGUGACACCUGCAACUGUUUAUGCUUCGAGAUCAGGAUGAAGUAGGAGACGAGGAUGGAAGUGCUCAUCCACCGAACUAAUUUUAUACUUGUUAUAGCAUUUACAGCGGAGAUGGAGGUGGCUGCACACAGAACCGGCCUUACACCUUCUCUUCUGAGUCAUUCACUGACUUUUUCUCUUUGACUCUUUGAGACUGAACAUUUUUCUUUCAUUGCCAGAGAAUAGGUUGCCUUGCCGCUGAUAGGCUAACCGGUAGCUGUGUGCUGAUAUAUUUCUUCUGUAAAUGUGGCUCAAUAAUCACUAUGGUUGGCUGGCCUUUUCUACAACAUCACACUGCUGCUCUAUACACUAAUUUCCGCUAAUUUAAGAGACUACCCACCACCACUAUCACAUAUCCUCUAGGUUUACUAUAAUUACUGCCUUUGGACCAUCUGUGUGUUCAUCUGAGUAGCUGCAUCGAUCUUACUCGGAUCACACGGAGCUGACUGAAUGGGCAGGUUUUCGCUUCCUUCCUGAUCAGGGUCCGCCCUUGGUGGAUUGUGAUAAUGUCGACUGUAGGUCUCUAAAACGGUGCCAUUAUCCCCCAGCAGCGGGUCUUGGAUUAAAAGCAUCAACGCCAAAAGAGACCUUGUGCCUUUUGAAAUGGCCUGAGGUCACGCCGAGCUGAUGUCUGUUUUGCUGAAAGUACCUUCAGUACCUUGUUUUUAAUGAAUGCUUUAUUAAACCCGCAUUUACACCACAGAAGCUUCUUCUUGUUUUAUCUCCUCCCACUAAAACCUGCAUCCUCAGGAGGUAGCUGCAAAGUUACAGCUGAGUUUGCACACAGUGCCAUAUGUACAUGAGCAUGUUCAGGGAUUGUACUCCUGUUUAUGUUUCCAGGACAGUACUGCAAACAGGAAGGAUUUCCACGUCAUCUCAAAGCAAAAAAACAGACACAUUUUGUGUUUACCCCAC